UAGGGAAUCUUCCGCAAUGGGCGAAAGCCUGACGGAGCAACGCCGCGUGAGUGAUGAAGGUCUUCGGAUCGUAAAACUCUGUUAUUAGGGAAGAACAAAUGUGUAAGUAACUAUGCACGUCUUGACGGUACCUAAUCAGAAAGCCACGGCUAACUACGUGCCAGCAGCCGCGGUAAUACGUAGGUGGCAAGCGUUAUCCGGAAUUAUUGGGCGUAAAGCGCGCGUAGGCGGUUUUUUAAGUCUGAUGUGAAAGCCCACGGCUCAACCGGGGAGGGUGAUUGGAAACUGGAAAACUUGAGUGCAGAAGAGGAAAGUGGAAUUCCAUGUGUAGCGGUGAAAUGCGCAGAGAUAUGGAGGAACACCAGUGGCGAAGGCGACUUUCUGGUCUGUAACUGACGCUGAUGUGCGAAAGCGUGGGGAUCAAACAGG
rnacentral:rRNA from 1 species